GGGGGGGGGGGGGGGGGGGGCGGGUGGGUGCGGGGGGAGCGGCCGGGGGGGGGGCUGGCUCCUGUGGGGGUAGCGGCGGACGGGUGGGGAGCCCGUGGGUGACCUACCUAUAAGACUGGGCUAACUUCUGGACACCGGAGCUAAUACCGGAUCAUAUGUUGAACCUCAUGUUUCACUAGUGCCAGACGGUUUUGCUGUCGCUUAUAGCUGGAGCCUCGACGCAUUAUCUAGUUGGUCAGGUCACGUAUUACCAAGGCAACGAUGCGUAGCCGACCUGAGAGGGUGAUCGGCCCACCUGGAACUGAGACACGGUCCAGACUCCUAAGGGAGGCAGCAGGAGGGAAUCUGCCGCAAUGGGCGAAAGCCUGACGGAGCAACGCCGCGUGAGUGGUGAAGGUCUUCGGAUCGUAAAACUCUGUUAUUAGGGAAGAACAAAUGUGUAAGUAACUAUGCACGUCUUGACGGUACCUAAUCAGAAAGCCACGGCUAACUACGUG
rnacentral:rRNA from 1 species